rnacentral:rRNA from 1 species
CAUGCAAGUCGAACGAGAAUCUGUGGAUCGAGGAUUCGUCCAAGUGAAGCAGAGGACAGUGGCGGACGGGUGAGUAACGCGUGAGGAACCUGCCUUUCAGAGGGGGACAACAGUUGGAAACGACUGCUAAUACCGCAUGAUACAUUUGGGUGGCAUCAUCUGAAUGUCAAAGAUUUAUCGCUGAAAGAUGGCCUCGCGUCUGAUUAGCUAGUUGGUGGGGUAACGGCCCACCAAGGCGACGAUCAGUAGCCGGACUGAGAGGUUGACCGGCCACAUUGGGACUGAGAUACGGCCCAGACUCCUACGGGAGGCAGCAGUGGGGAAUAUUGGGCAAUGGGCGCAAGCCUGACCCAGCAACGCCGCGUGAAGGAAGAAGGCUUUCGGGUUGUAAACUUCUUUUAAGAGGGAAGAGCAGAAGACUGUACCUCUAGAAUAAGCCACGGCUAACUACGUGCCAGCAGCCGCGGUAAUACGUAGGUGGCAAGCGUUGUCCGGAUUUACUGGGUGUAAAGGGCGUGCAGCCGGGAAUGCAAGUCAGAUGUGAAAUCCAUGGGCUUAACCCAUGAACUGCAUUUGAAACUGUAUUUCUUGAGUACUGGAGAGGCAAUCGGAAUUCCUAGUGUAGCGGUGAAAUGCGUAGAUAUUAGGAGGAACACCAGUGGCGAAGGCGGAUUGCUGGACAGCAACUGACGGUGAGGCGCGAAAGUGUGGGGAGCAAACAGGAUUAGAUACCCUGGUAGUCCACACUGUAAACGAUGAAUACUAGGUGUGCGGGGACUGACCCCCUGCGUGCCGCAGUUAACACAAUAAGUAUUCCACCUGGGGAGUACGAUCGCAAGGUUGAAACUCAAAGGAAUUGACGGGGGCCCGCACAAGCGGUGGAUUAUGUGGUUUAAUUCGAAGCAACGCGAAGAACCUUACCAGGGUUUGACAUCCUGCUAAUGAAGUAGAGAUA